UGUCUGAAAACGAAACGAAAGCAUUAUUCUCUUUAAACUUCAAGAUACUUGAUGGCCGUCUGAACAUCCUUAUCACCUCUCCCGCUGAAGUUUAACACCACUCUAGCACCAUCAGGUAAUGUCGGACAUAGCUUCUCGAGAUGAGCCAAUGCAUGAGAUGUCUCCAAUGCUGGGAUUAUUCCCUCCAACCGAGACACUCUCUUGAACGCUACACACGGAGGAGAUCAGCAAGCAAAAACAAUGCAAGAAACAUAUAAAGACAAGUACCUUCUAAAGCUUCUUCAUCGGUAACGCUGUAGUAUUCAACCCGUCCCAUCUCUUUAAGGAAACUAUGCUCAGGUCCAGUACUCCAGUGUAGUCCAAGCUGUUAACAUUGAACAUUUACUGUUUGAUGUUACUUGAGAAAUGAGUAAUCAAACUGUUGACUUUUCAAGUCUCCUAAAUCAUCUAUGGUCGAUAAGUGAAAGGAAUGAAGACAAACAGAUUUAGGGAUAGUAUAUGGUAUUUCCAAGAAGAAAUGACAUUUAGAAAUAGUAAACUGUAUCAGCAAAGGUUUAGAAAUAGUAGCAAAAACAAAAAUGAAGAGAAAAAGACUAUAAUCAUAGCUGAUCUAGUAAAUGACCAGUACGACUCACUUUUCUUCCACUUUCUUUUUCACAUCAGAGGGGGAAAAAUGUUAAUUACUUGAUUAAAAAAGGUUGCUCUGCCUCAAUUUUGUAGCCAAAGGUUUAACAUAGUUUAAUAAAGAGACGACUUAUUAAAGAGUCAACACAUAAAAAAGCAAUAAUAAAAAAAAAAAAAAAGAUCCGGAGUCUUAAGCGUGUCUGUAUUAGUCCCACUAUGCGUACGACUGCUUAUGCAUUAAAGACUACUAUUUAUGUUUUUCUAUCUAUGUAAUUUAGUAGGUCUCCCAGAAGAAAGAACAGGACCUAGUAAAGUUAACUUCCGACAAUGGGAGCUUCAACAGUUUUCCUAUGUGGUGUUGUUCUGAUUCACCUGUUUGCUUCUCAAACUGACGCUCAAAGACCUAGAAGUCCAUGGAAAACACUCAGUGGUGAGAGUGCUCUCACUUUCUAUCUCUUUCUUUAAGCAUGAAUGUCCGAUAGAAACUAGUACUCCGACUUUAUUUAUACAGAGAUCUGUAGUAGAGUUGGGAUUAUCAUAUAUAUUCUCUUUUAUUAGAAUAACUUUGUGAUACACUUUUACUUUACCAGGUGAUGCUCCUCGUGUGAUCUCUCGUGGAGGGUUUUCUGGAUUGUUUCCAGAUUCGAGCCUUGAUGCUUACAUCUUCGCACUACAGACAAGUGUAGCAGAUGCUGUCCUGUGGUGUGAUGUUCAAUUAACCAAAGAUGGAGCUGGGAUUUGCUUCCCUGAUCUAAACAUGAGCAAUGCUUCAAUUAUUGAAGUUGUUUACCCAAAGGGUCAAAAAACUUACCCGGUUAAUGGAGUCCCUACUCAGGGCUGGUUCACCGUUGAUUUCUCCUUGAAAGAUCUCAACAAGGUUUACUGUAAGUCUUCAUUGCCCAAAAAGUGAGUGCUUCACUGUUUCUCGCAACUUCUCACAAAUGUCUUCUUCUUGUUUUUCAGUGAUCCGAGCUAUUUUAUCUCGUUCAGACAGAUUCGAUGGUAAUGAAUACACGAUCUCCACUGUUCAAACUGUAAACAAGGAGCUGAAACCACUAGGCUUUUGGCUUAAUGUUCAGCACGAUGCCUUCUACGCGCAGCAUAAUCUGAGCAUGAGCACUUUUCUGAUAUCUGCUUCAAAAACUGUUUCCGUUGACUACCUCUCUUCCCCUGAAGUGAAUUUCUUUACAAAGAUUGCUGGCCGGUUCGGGCGUAAUGGACCGAAAUUCGUGUUCCGGUUUCUUGAGAAAGAACAAUUUGAGCCGACAACAAACAGAACAUACGGUUCUAUCUUGAGUAACCUAACAUUUGUCAAGAAUUUUGCUUCAGGGAUUCUUGUUCCCAAGUCUUACGUAUUGCCACUAGAUGACAAGCAGUACUUGCUUCCCUCCACAUCCUUAGUUCAAGAUGCUCAGAAAGCAGGACUUUGCCACUAGAUGACAAGCAGUACUUGCUUCCGUCUACUUCUUUGGUUCAAGAUGCUCACAAAGCAGGACUUGAAGUGUUUGUGUCAGGUUUUGCUAAUGAUGUUGAUAUUGCACAUGACUACAGUUAUGAUCCUGUCUCUGAGUAUCUAUCUUUUAUGGACAAUGGCAACUUUUCUGUCGAUGGUGUGCUCUCAGAUUUUCCCAUAACUGCAUCUGCAUCCAUUGGUAAGCAAAAUCUCUUAAGGUGGUUUCUUUAUGUCCUUAGAACAUUGCUCGAAACACUCACAUCAAUCAUUUUCCUUUUAUAUUUUCUUCAAGAAUGCUUCUCCCACCUUGGCAGAAACGCUAUAAAACAAGGUAGUAAGUAAGAGUCAUUACUUUGCAUAUUUCUUUUAUGAUUAGUAGUAGAAAAGAAAGAAAGAGAAACCCAUAGUUGACACUUAUCAAAAUGGUUCACGGUUCAGUUGAUUUUCUUGUUAUAUCAAAAAAUGGAGCGAGUGGGGACUAUCCAGGAUGUACUGACUUGGCAUAUGAUAAGGCUAUCAAAGAUGGUGCUGAUGUUAUCGAUUGCUCAGUCCAGAUGUCCAGCGACGGUAAACCCUUUUGCUCAAGAUCAAUAGACCUCUCGAACAGCACAACGAUCUCCCAGACAUCUUACGCGCAACGUUCAACACAUGUUCCCGAGAUUAGCUCAAAUGGUGGGAUAUACACUUUUAGUCUCACAUGGGCUGAGAUCCGGAACUUGACUCGUAAGUUUCCACUUAAUUUAAAGAGGCUACAUCUAACAAUUUUACAAUUUAAAGAUACUAUUUGGUCAAAAUUACAUACCUUGAGCGUUACAUAUCUAUUCUCCCAUCUUUUGUGCAGCUGCGAUUGCAAACCCGUACAGGCUAUACAAUAUAUUCAGGAAUCCUAAUCAGAAAAAUUCUGGAAAGCUUAUUUUGCUUUCUGAAUUCCUAAACUUGGCAAAACACUCCACUUCUCUCUCCGGUGUUUUGAUCAGUGUAGAGGUCAGUUCCCGCACCUCCUAAUCUUAUGGUUUUAACAAAUCAGAUAGGCCUGUGCCGGGACUUUUGGUUGAGUAGGGUUAUUUAUAACUAAUGUUUGAAAUAGCCCAAAAAUCUUAAUAGAAAUCUAAAAUAAUUGACCAAAAAUAUUCAAAAAUCUAUACUAAAACUAGUUAAACCUAGACCUAAAAACUAUUAGAAAAAAAUAAAAAGAAACUUCAAUUUUUUUAUUUAAAAUACUAUAAAUAUUUGAAUUACUUUAACAAAUAUAAAAAAAAUUUAACACAUUUUUUAAUUAAUUUCAUAUUUUUUUGGAUCCUGGUUCAGAUUUCGAUUCGGUUUGGGUUGUAUUCGUACAUAAUUCUUAAGUCCCGUUUGGAUGUUUUCAUAUAAUGUUCCGGAUCAGAAUUCAGUGUUUUGGUUCGGAUAAAACGGUCAGGCCUAUUCUAACGUCUUUAAUGGCAUGGCCACUUAAUUUUUAUUGUGUCCUUCAGAAUGUAAUGUACCUGCGACAGAAGCAAGGGCUCAACAUGGUUAAAGCGGUUCUCGAUACCCUCACGGAAACUGCUUACAGCACUCGAAUAACCACAACAAAAGUCAUGAUUCAGUCAACGGAUAGCUCGGUCCUAGUUGAGUUCAGGAAUCAGAGCAAGUAUGAGACAGUCUACAAAGUUGAAAAAACCAUUAGUGAUAUUAGUGACUCUGCUAUUAAAGAGAUAAAAGAAUUUGCUAGCGCUGUUGUCAUCACUAAAGCAUCAGUAUUUCCCACAUUUGAUGGGUUCCUCAUGGGGCAAACCAAUGUUGUGGAGAGGCUGCAGAAGUCUCAGCUUCCGGUAUAUGUGGAACUGUUCCAGAACGAGUUUGUAUCUCAACCAUAUGACUUCUUAUCUGACGCAACUGUUGAGAUAAACUCUUAUGUUACUGGAGCUGGUGUAAAUGGAACCAUCACUGAGUUCCCUUUCACAGCUGCUAGAUAUAGAAGUAAGUGGAUUAUUCUUUGCACCAGAGGGUCUCACAAUAUGACAUCAAUAAUGCCGAAUUUUGUUUCCCUCUUGUGCAGAAAAUAGAUGUUUGGGAAGCAAAGAAACUCCACCUUACAUGGCUCCUGUCCAACCAGGUGCACUCUUGCAAGUUGUGAAUCCGGCGUCCUUACCUCCAGCCGAAGCUCCAAACCCGGUGUUCACAGAUGCUGAUGUCCCAGGUUAUGACCAUUACAAACAAUGCAGUCAAACGUUUCGCUGUGGUAAUCAGGGCGGUCUCUUGUACCCUUUCUGGACACCUGACAGAGAAACCUGCGGCUACCCUGGCUUUAAGCUCAACUGUAGCGAUGGAUUCGCAGAGCUUACUGUCUCUUCCGUGAAGUUCAGAAUCUUAAACGCAAAUUACACUUCUCGUAAUAUAAGACUCGCCAGAUCAGAUUAUAUCGACAAUCUUUGUCCUUCAGACCCACUAAAUGGACCAUUCUACCAAGAGGCCCUUCAACUGGCUAAUGACACCAAUCUGCUAACAAUGCUUUAUGACUGCCAAGACUUAUCAUCCAUUAUCUACAGCAGCGAAGCUUACAAUUACGUUACAGACUUUCAAUGUAAAGAAGGUGUAAAAAACAACAACUAUUGUGUUGUGAUAAACAGCUCGUCUUCUUUAUUCAACGGGAGGGAUGGCAUUGACUACAUGAAGGAAAACUGCACAGUUUACGUCAGCAUGCCUGUUUCCGGGUCGAACCUACACACUCUGGAUUCAAAUAAUCUAAAGAAGACUCUUGAACAGGGUUUCGAGCUUCAACUUAAACAAGACUGCUCAAUGUGCCUAGAAUCUAAGGGUGCUUGUGGAUACGAUCAAACUUUUAAUCGAUUCGUCUGCUAUUGUGACGAUGGGACCCAUGGCGAUACCUGUAGCUCUGGAAAGACAAGUCAGGGUAAUCCGUCGUUUUCUCUCAUUUUGUUACUUUUCAGAUCAAGUUUGGUUUCAUUCUGACAAAAAAAAUUACACGUGUUAAAACAGGAUUUUCGGUCAACACAGUUCACAAAGGUUAGUAAUGUUGGAUAAUUCAAAGACCAUGGAAAGUUACAAUUUAGAUUAGGUUUGUGUUUUCAUAUUCCAAUAUAGAUUUAAUGGAGAUAUGUUCCACAAAAUCUAAGAUUAACAUUGAGAACUUUAGUUUUGAAAAGUUUCAAAAGCAAUAAGAAAAAUUGUUUUUAUGUGUUUAGAGAUUUGAAGUAUGAUGGGAAGAUAGAUUUUUUUUAAGUUAUUUAGUUUGAUUCCAUUCUGACAAAAUUUUACUUGUUGAAUGGUUGAACAGGGUCUUUGGUCAAUGCAAUUGGCAAAGGUGAGUUAGUUUGCAGGGAAGAUAGACUUUGAACUGUUUAUGUGUAUUACUUAAACUCACGAAUUUCUCUGUUUAUUUCUAGUUUCGGGCUCAGUAGCAGGCGUUGUUAUGUUCUUGGUCUUACUAUCAUUGUUUCUUUGUUACCUCUGGAAGAGAGAAACACGACAGAGACAGCAAAAUCUCAAGUCGCUUAUUCCACUCAAACACUACACUUACGCACAAGUGAAAAGAAUCACCAAGUCAUUUGCGGAAGUGGUCGGGAGAGGCGGGGUUUGGGACACUUACGCACAAGUGAAAAGAAUCACCAAGUCAUUUGCGGAAGUGGUCGGGAGAGGCGGGUUUGGAAUUGUGUAUAGAGGAACGCUUCCUGACGGCCGUAUGGUUGCGGUGAAGGUCUUGAAAGAUUCAAAGGGCAAUGGUGAAGAUUUCACGAACGAGGUUGCAAGCAUGAGCCAAACUUCUCAUCACAACAUUGUUUCCUUGCUUGGUUUCUGCUCCGAACGUUCCAAAAGAGCGAUUAUAUAUGAAUUUUUGGGAAACGGGUCCCUUGAUAAAUUCAUCGCAGGCAAGACUUUGGACUGGACGGCAUUGUAUCAAAUUGCGGUUGGAGUUGCUCGAGGCCUAGAAUACUUGCAUCACGGCUGCAAAACGAGGAUUGUGCAUUUCGACAUAAAACCACAAAAUGUACUCUUAGAUGAAAACUUUUGCCCCAAGGUUUCAGACUUCGGUCUUGCUAAGCUCUGCGAGAAGAAAGAGAGUGCACUGUCAUUGCUGGACACAAGAGGUACAGUCGGGUACAUUGCACCAGAGAUGAUUUCAAGAGUUUAUGGGAGCGUGUCUCACAAGUCAGAUGUAUAUAGCUACGGAAUGUUGGUUCUGGAGAUGAUUGGCGCAAGGAAUAAAGAAAAAGCUCAUCAGGACUCCACUUCUAACACGAGUUCGAUAUACUUUCCUGAGUGGAUAUAUAGGGAUAUUGAAUUAGGAAAGUCUAGAAGGCUUAUCGAGGAUGAGAUCAGCAAUGAGGAACAUGAGCUAGCAAAGAAGAUGGCUUUGGUUGGUUUGUGGUGUAUUCAGUCUUCUCCGUUGGAUCGCCCACCUAUGAAAUAGCAAAGAAGAUGGCUUUGGUUGGUUUGUGGUGUAUUCAGUCUUCUCCGUUGGAUCGCCCACCGAUGAACAGAGUUGUAGAGAUGAUGGAAGGAAGCUUGGAUGCUCUCGAAGUGCCUCCUAGGCCUGUUUUGCAAAUUCCCAUAGCACCUCUUCAAGAGCCUUCAACACUUUCAAGGGAUAUUUCGGUUUACACCGAAGAAUGAUCUAAAAAGCCUCCUUGGAAUUUAUCAAAGCAGGACCACAAGAAUGCAAAUAUUCAAGAAAUGCCAUACAUUCCGAAUUAAAAUGGGAAAUCUAUGUAUAAAAUUAGGUUAUUCUGAAGAUUAUUUGAUGUCCAUAUACACACCAAGUUCGGUGUAUUUAGAUUAGGUGAAUGACAUGAGAAUUCACCUACUGUGAAUACUACUUAAUCCCAAUUCAGUUCCUAAGUCUACAACUAUCCCUCGUAGCUGACAUUCUGAUUUUGCACAUAUAUGAUGUUGAUUAUAUGCGUAAAACCUAAUAAUUUCAUCCACAAUAUAUACCUAUCUCUUCUAAGAAUACUACGUCUAUAUACCGAAAGAACUUCACUCAUUACUAUUGCUGUUUAUUUUUUGAACCAUUUUCCGAAUACAUUCCAUUUCUUUUAGGUUUCUGUGAAAUGUAUCAGUAUCAUUAAAAACCGACCCAUAUCAUCCACUAGAUGAGUCAAACCUUGAUUAGUUGGACGAAGAGGAUGACACCAAAGUUGACAGUCUUGUGAUUUGAAUUUCUGAAAACCAUCAUUUCUGCAAUGCAAUGUUUAAGGGAAGUGCAAUGAGUUGACAUCAAACAUAUGCGUGAGUUUACUCGUGUUUAUUUACAGAUUUAAGUAGACUUCUAAAAUAAUUCAAUCAUGGUUGUUUAUAAUGCAUUAAGGUUUUUUUUUUUUUGUUUUGGUUAAAUUAAAGCUGAGUGGAAAACAAAACAGUUCGAACUUCUUAUAAGAACAUCAAACGCUCAAUAGAACAGUCUUAUUUAUAGGAUACACUUUUAUUUCUUUCGUUCUCUUCUUAAUACUCUGUUCCUAUUUGGGUUUUCCGCCCAAGAAGCAAGAACUAACAAACCAACUAAAACAAAAUGUCACUGUCUGAAAACGAAACGAAAGUAUUCUUCUCUUUAAACUUCAAGAUACUUGAUGGCCGUCUGAACAUCCUUAUCACCUCUCCCGCUGAAGUUUAACACCACUCUAGCACCAUCAGGUAACGUCGGACAUAGCUUCUCGAGAUGAGCCAAUGCAUGUGACGUCUCCAGAGCAGGGAUUAUUCCCUCCAACCGAGACACUCUCUUGAA
rnacentral:lncRNA from 1 species